GAGACAUUUAUUAAACAUUUUUCUUUUACAGAAGCUGAGUUCUGAAUAUUGGCCAAAUGAAGGAUUUAGUGAGUUAAAGCAGAACGACAUAUUAAAUUUUCUUUCAUCCUUCUCGUCAUCUUGGGGUUUUAAAUUCUCUACAGAUUUGUCUUGACUAUUACAUCCAUUCCUAUCAACCAUUGUCACUGCACUGAAAAAUAAAUUACUAUUGUUCACAUUCUGUUUGUGAGAAAUUGACACAUUUUACAUUCAUAUGUCAACUAUUGCAAUUGAAACAAAGGAUUUUUAAUUUGUUUUGACAAGUUUACAGAAGGAUCAAUCUAAAAA